AUUUUGUCCGUAGAGUUCGCCGCCUUCGACUUCUUCUUUUUCUCUCUUCAUUUCUCCAACCUCUAGCCCCAGCGCCGCUCACCCCUAUUCUUCUCCAUUUUUCUAAAAGAAAACCCUAGCCACUCAAUUUCUCUAACCCUAGCCGUCCCUUAUCCAAUUUAUCUCAACCACGGCCUCCAUUUUAGCAGCUCCACCCCGAUUCCAUCCGCCUCCCUCCCGGCGAAGACUUUGGCAUUAUCAGGUUGGUUUUAAUUGUUGCGUAGCUCAUGUUCAUUGCAGUCUAGAUCCCAACAACCGAAGGAUGAUAUUUCCAUGCUAGGGCUCUAGGAUCGUCAACCUAUGGAUGAUAUUUCGCUCAAACUCGCAGAUCCAUGUUCGAUCCUCCAGUUUCAGAGCAAAACAUUGAUCCAGUUCCGAGAUCCACAAAAAGCAAAGACCAUCAUGAGGAUCACCACACCCAUGAUCAUGUUCAUGAUCCUGGUGUUUCUUCUGUCAGCAUAGUUUGUGAAGGGAACUUAGAUCUUGAAAAGGCUAACAUAUGGCUUGGUACACUGUUGUUUGAAUGAAGUGAGGACAUAUAUCGUAUGAAAGGUCUUCUAUCAGUUCAAGGAAUGAAAGAGAUUUGUCUUCCAGGAUUUUGGUGCUCUGAAAAUGCCCACCAUGAUAUUUUUACACCAAGUGUAUAUGGCAACCCAGGCAUUCCAACUUGCUCAGGGAAAUACUUCAUUUAAGGAAAAGCCUGAAAUAAUGUUGUCGAAGUGCUAUACUGAAGCUAUCAGUUUGAACAUGAUGUGUGCAACUUAGAUUGCAACCAUACAACUGCUUACUUGGAGGUAAUAGUCAUUCUAUUGCAUGCAUAUCUUUAGAAUCUUUAUUUUUAUUUUUAUUUUUUAUUUUUUAUUUUUUAUAACUAUUGAUGAAAGCACUGCAGACCAAAUCAUGUUAUAUAUGCUUAUUGUAAACAGUUCUGUCUGUAAAUUUGAAACCCAAAUUAACAUAAUUUUUCCCCUAUUUGACCAUGCAUUUAUGAAUGUUGGAUUAAAAUUUGUUUAUUUUUGGGAAGAAAUGAGACAGUUGGUUUGAGUUUUAGAAGCCUUUGUUUUUCUGCCUUUUAUGGCAAUGAAAAAAAGGGGGAAAACGUUGGUCUUAAUUGUAAUUUCCAAAUUCUUUACGCUGUUAGUAGUUAAAAUUAAGGGAAUGGCUAUUAAUAUAAUUUUUGGUGUAUUUCAAGCUUCUAAUUCACAAACUGGGUGAAGGUCACAAUAAGUAUUAGUUACUAUGAGAGUGUUGGACUAUCGUCAUUCUGGAACCAGGUUUAAGAGGGCCCUGACAAUGACAUUGAAACGGGUAUACAACCCUCUUCUUUUCGUCUUUUAGUCUUUCGCUUACUCGAGCAUAUGCUGUCAUUUAAAAUUAGUGGUCCGGUUGAUGUACCUGCAAUAUCAGUAGUUCCUAUCUUUUUAAUGGAGUGAUUCCCUUUCUUGCACAUGUAAAAUCUUGAUGUCUGCAAAUGCACAUAUCACAUAACUGUUAACACAAGUCUUGCUUCUUUCAUUUGAUUUUGCAAGGGUAAGCUCUUAAUCUUUCCUCUAUCAUUUUGUAGUUCAUCCUAUUGUUGUAAUUUAGAGCUAUUUUAAUGCUCUUAAUCUGAAGCCUCCCGAACUUUAUAAUCUUUUUGUAAUUAUCUCAGACUGAAAAUUAGACUACUAAUAAUUAGGAAAUAACAGUCCUGUAACAUCCAAAACAAAGCAUAAUAAGGAAAACCCAUAUUGAGAAUGAAUUAUGUAUUUGAGGCUCUAUUUUGUCGACUUUGCCUAUUACCCUGGAAUCAUAAGCUAGUAGUAUUCCAAUCACAGUUUUUCUUUUUACUUUUGAUGUUGGAACCACAGAACGAAAUAUACGAUUUUGGAAAUCUUAUUUUCGAAAGAUAGCUAACGUAAAAGUGGUGGAUUGCUUAGUAGUUGGACUUCCUUUUUAAUUCAUACCAUACUUUAUCUCUCUAAUUUAGGUAGUUACAAUAAAUAAGAAUCGAUAAAAAUGAUUUUAUUUUAAAAGCUACUUAAAAAGAUAGUAAUUAAUGCUAUAAAAUUUUCCAAAUGCUACUUAUCAUGUGUUCAAUUUCAAUUAAGAUUUUGAGAUAUAUCAAUUAAGUUAUAUAAGUCUGUGGAAUAUGAUGUGUUUUUAAUUGAUUUGUUUUAGAGAUUUCAAGCAAAAUUAUGAGUGAAAUUCAAUUAUCUCAAAAUCUAAAAGAGGAGACGCGAAAUUUGUGAAUGCUUAAAAUACUUUACGAUAUUUCUCAAAUUCUCUCGAUUUUUUCAAAAUCAAAUCCUAAUUAGAAAUACCUAAAGUAUUAUAAACUUUUAUUAAAAUCCUAAUUGAAUAGGCCUAGAGUUUUCAAAAAUACUUAAAAUAGUAAUUGAAAAUCGCUGUAGUAUUAUAAACUUUUCAAAAAUCCUAAUUAAAAUUGUUAGAUUAGAAAGACAACGAAUUUAUUUUGUUUUACAGCAAUAGAGGGGUUAUCAGCACAUGUUUCUUACCUGACCUGCUAUGGGUUUGAAACAGUCAUUCGCAUAACUGUGGUCGAGUCACUCAGUGCAUUUAAUAAUUUUAUUUUCACCAUUAAAAUUACAUUUUAAACGUGUAUUUAAUUUAUAUUUGCAACUUUCACAUGGAGAUGGGACCAGGGAGAGUAGAGCGUGUCGGUCCACGGCUUACAAAGCUCUGUGGGCAGUACUACAUUGGGCUGGUCUUCUUUGCAAAUAGGGAAGGUGCGUCUGCGACAUAUGAUGAGGCAAAAGAAGUUAGAAGGUGCCUAUUUUUGCCACGAAAGGGGAGGGUUUCAAGAAAUUCACUGGAGGAGCUGAGGAGAUAUGGGUGUGUUGGCUUACUAAGUCUAACUUGGUGGCAAUGGUCCCUUAGAUUGAUGAUUGAUGCAGCCUAUUGGAACUGGUAUUUACUUCUCAAUGUUUGAGAAUAUAUAGAGUUAUUGAAAGUAGCUGACUUGGAUAUCUCACAACUAUAGGAUAGAUAUCCAACUCAGCUACUUUCAGUAACUCUCUACAUAUUCUCAAACAUUGAGAAGUAAGUUCCGGUGGGGCUGCCUCAAUCAUCAAUCUAAGGGACCAUUGCCUCCAAGUUGGCCUUAGUAAGCCAACACACCCAUAUCUCCUCAGCUCCUCCAGUGAAUUUCUUGAAACCCUCCCCUUUCGUGGCAAAAAUAGGUAUCUUCUGAACUUCUUUUGCCUCAUCAUAUGUCCCAGACGCACCUUCCCUAUUUGCAAAGAAGACCAGCCUCAUGUAGUACUGCCCACAGAGCUUUGUAAGCCGUGGACCGACACGCUCUACUCUCGUUGAUCCCAUCUCCAUGUGAAAGUUGCAAAUAUAAAUUAAAUACACGUUCAAAAUGUAUUUUUAAUGGUGAAAAUAAAAUUAUUAAACUUACUCGAGCCAAUUUUUAAUGUCGUCCAGUUAGGCAACGCUCUGAUGGCUAUGGAUGAGAAUGAAGUCACUUUGAACCGUAGGGUUGUGCUGGUCCAAACUCGCACUGAGUGACUCGACCACAGUUAUGCGAAUGAGUGUUUCAAACCCAUAGCAGGUCAGGUAAGAAACAUGUGUUAAUAUUUCCAUUAAUUAAUAAAAUACUCAUUGUCAAUCAAAAUUCUAUGAAAUUACUACUUUAAUCAUGUAAUUAAAAUAGAACAUGAAUAAGAAAUAUGGGGUAGAAAUGUAAUUUCACACAAUCAAAUUUUGCUGUUUUUUUUCAAAGUCUCACCUACAUGUAAUCCUAAUAUAUCUCUAAUUAAAAUAAAAACUUCCCACUCCCACAUUCUCUAUCACUCUGUUUUGGCUUUUGGACAGGCAGCGCGGCGGGAUGGAAGUUGAUCUGGGGUUUUGGCUUUUGGGCUGCUGGAGCAAGGGAUAGUAGGUUCAAACUCGGUACUUUGAUUUUGUUUGUCCAAUACUGUCUGUUUAGAUCGCUUCACAUCCUCUUCUCUAUUUUACUUUUUUUCUUUUUUCUGGUGUAUGAGAAUUGGAAUUAUGAAAUUCAUUUUUUUGAUUGUUAAACUAAAUUAGAUUGGGUUGUCUCAGUUAUGAGAUUCAUACUAAUAAUUAGAAUAAUUAUAAUUAUGUGUCGCAGAGACAUGUAUGGGUUGUCGACUAUGACAGAAGGUGAACCAGCCUUUUCUCACUAUGAGGUGUAUGGUUCUGGAAAACAUUUGCUUCCCAAAUAUUAGAGGCGUGCUUGGAACCUUAUCAGACUUUCGAAGAAAGAAUAAAAGUAUGCGAAAUGGCAUUGUUGGAUACGGCAAUUUGUGAUCCUGCACAAAUGAUUAUUGAGAGGUAAUUUUAUUUACAGAUCAUUUCAAUUGCCUUAUAUUUGUAUGAAGUGUCUAAUCAGGUAAUUGUUUGCAGUUUGUUUUCUUGGCUUCAAUCACUUAUUUAAACAACUGACUUAUUUAAACAACUGUGAUCGAGUCGUAUGGUGCAAGCUUUGAUGAUUUGGAACCACGAAUGAGUCAUGUUGAUCUAUAACAUUUUUGGGAGUGUUGUCCCAGACAACGACAUAAAAAAGCGGCUGGAGCGAGUAAUAAUUUUAUUUUGCCAUUAAACAAUCUUUUUUUUUUCUUUUUGUGAGAAGAGCCAUUAAGCAAUCUAUAUUUAAUUAUAUUUGAGGUUUUGGCAGGGGUAUUAAAAGAGUCUUACCAAGCUAUGUGGGGGCAUACUACAUCCGAUUGGUCAUUUUUGCAAGUGAGGAAGGUGUUUGUCAAACUUUAGAUGGAGGAGAAGAUGUCCCAAAAGACUAUUUUUGCAAUGCAGGGGAAAAGGGUCGAAGAAGUUUUUUCGCAGGAGCCAAUGAAAUCUGGAUGUGUUAACCAAGGAAGAAAAACUUGGAUGCAUUGGUCCCAUAGAUCCGUUGACAUUUUAGUAUUAUUCAAUUUCUGAUAGCUGAGUUUCAUGUCCUCUGUGAUGGUAAAAUAACACAGAUUCUCCAAAAUUUCAGACAUGAUACAUUUUGCUGUAAAACAAUUACUGGUUCGAGUUUUUAGUUUUUUCAGUCACGAUAACUCAAAUUUGGAGAACCAGUAAUUAUUUUACAAGAAGGGGUAUCAUGACUGAAAUUUCGGAGAAUCUGUGUCAUUUUACUGUCAAAUAGGUCAUGAGACUCAGCUAUUAGAAAUUAAACGAUACUAAAGUGUCAACGGAUCUGUGGGACCAAUGCAUCCAAGUUUUCCUUCCUUAGGUAACACAUCCAGAUUUCCUUAGCUGCUACAAAAAACUUCUUCAACCCUUUCCCUUGCAAUGCAAAAAUAGGCUUUUGCAUCUCUUGUACAAAUCUUCUCCUCUGUCUAAAGUCUAACGAGCACCUUCCUCACUUGCAAAAAUGACCAAUCGAGUGUAGUAUGCCCCAUGUAGCUUGGUAAGACAUGAACUGACAAACUUCACUUCUGCUCUUUUAAUACCCUACCAAAACCCCAAAUAAUUAAAUACAGAUUGCUUAAUGGUUCUUCUAAAAAAAAAAAGAUUGUUUAAUGGCGAAAUAAAACUAUUACUAACUGCAGCCGCUUUUUUAUGUCGUUGGCUGGGACAACACUCCCAAAAAUGUUAUAUAUCAGCAUGACUCUGCAUCUCUGGCAGUUGUGGUUCCAAUCAUCAAAGCUCACACUAUACAACUCGAUCACAGUUGCUUCAAUAAGUGAUUGAAGCCAAGAAAACAAACUGUAAACAAUUACCUUAUGAGACACUUCAUACAAAUAUAAGGCAAUUGGAAUGAUCUGUAAAUAAAAUUACCUCUCAAGAAUCCUCUGUGAUGGGUCCCAAAUUGCCGCAUCUAUCAAUGCCAUUUUGCAUACUUUUAUUCUUUUUUCGAAAGUCUGAUAAGGUUCCAAGCACGCCUCUAAUAUUUGGGAAGCAAAUGUUUUUCCAGAACCAUACACCUCAUAGUGAGAAACAUAGGAGGCUGGUUCACCUUCUAUCAUAGUCGACAACCCAUACCUGUCUCUGCGACACAUAAUUAUUCUAAUUAUUAGUAUGAAUUUCAUAACUAAGACAACCCAAUCUAAUUUAGUUUAACACAGAGAUCAAAAAAAUGAAUUUCAUAACUAAGACAACCCAAUCUAAAUUAGAUUAGGUUGUCUUAGUUAUGAAAUUCAUACUAAUAAUUAGAAUAAUUAUAACUAUGUGUCAAUCAAACAAAUUAUUAUCUGUGUUAGGCUAAGCCUGUAACUCAAAUUAAUGUGGCACGUUUUCAUCUUAAUUUGUGCCAAAGAAUGACCCAAUGAGUUCAUUAGAUUAUUUUUACUUUUAUUUAUUUAUGCAUAACAUUUUUUCUAAGAGCAAUUCUAGCCCUAAAAAUGCAUUGACAGUCAGCCUAUUUAAUCCAUUCAAAUGAAUAGUAAAGGAUCCAAUAAACAGUAAUUGACCAAAUGCAUUUCCACCUUUAAAAUAUGCGCUGGCACAAUCUGUAGUCAAUUUGUAUUAAAAUAUUAUUAUUAUUUUUUUUAAUAAAAUAAUUUAGUUUUAAUUUCGGAUAGGAUUUUUAACCAAUCUUAUCAUGUCACGUGUCAUUAUCCGAAAGUACUAUUUUGUGGAUAGAUUUCCGAUAAGAUUUUAAAUCAAUUCUGACACGUCACUUGUCACUAUCUAGUUACAAUGAUUUAGUCAAGAUUUCAAUAAGAUUUUCAACUAAUCACGUAGUGCCACGUGGCAUUACCCACAACCUCAUCAUUUUUUUUUGUUUAUAUAAACCUUACAUUCAUACUAAUUCAUACACCAAACUCAAAAUUGAUGAAUAUAUUUUCAUCGUCCGUCAUACUCGUGUUUCAAGCAAACCGAAAAAACUUUUCCUAGUGUAUGGUAAGUGCAUUUGAUUUUUUUAUUUCUUCCUUUACAAACUUUACGUUUGUCUUAUGCAUUCUCAGUUUUAUAUGAAUUUUCAUUUCUCUUUAUAUUUCAAGAGUUUCGAGGCGAGCUUUCAAAUUGUUUCAAGAGUUUAACGACUUGAGUGCAAGUUUAUAUGAUCUUUUGUAUUGCAAGUAUUCGUAUUGUAUCAGUAAGUACUUUUAGGUGUUGUUUAACGGAUGAGACUUAAGUCCUAAGAAAUUUACUUUUACAUACUAAUAAUUGUCAAUAAGACCAAAUAUAUUCAAGGUCGGAAUAUUAAUUUAAGAUGAAUUAAAAUAGUUUUCCCUCAAUGUUUACACUCUAAACAUUGGCAUGCUUGACAAAAUCUAACUAAAGUUAGUAGCUAUUUUAAGUGAAUUUGCUCAACUAGCCGAUGAUAACAAGUUCCACGGGUACCAUGUUGCUGUCCUCGUGCCAUGAAAGUUCUCCUCCAAUCCAAGAGGUAAGUUAGUCGUGAAUCGUGAUAGUGUAAAGAUGAAAUAAAAUAUUUCUCAAAGGUUGCCAAGAACAAGGAUUUAUUUUUAGCUGUAUAACUUUUUCAGAGUCUACAUCUUGUAAAUUGACAUGCUCCACUACAUCAUAAUAACAUGACUUAUUAGUAUGGAGAGAAAUUUUGCUCAACUAUCCGAGAGGUAAGUUUGCUGUGACAGUGCCCCUCUUCGUUUCUGCAAUUUUUAUUAUUUAUUUUGUAAACACAAUUGCUACGAUGCCACUUAUAAUGUCUAUAACAUUUAUUUUAGGAUUCUUGCACUUGUUUUUUAGUUACUUCAGACCACGUAAAACCCUUUUGAAGUGUUUAACGUUGGAAUUUAGGGUACUUAGGCAUUGCCUUGCCAAUAAGUUGAAUGUUUUUUGUGUUUUGAUGCGCAGGAGGGCAUCGCUCAUAACGCAUUGACAUGAAACCUUGUUUGAAAAGAAAACAAAAACUUCAAUACAUGUGAAUUUUAAAGUUACCUUUUGAAAUUCUUGUUGCAAGUAUCACAAGAUACAACGGACAAGUAUCCAACAAAAUUUUGCUGGUUCGAGUUUACUAAAUCUUUGCAGCAUGGUGUGAAUUUUGCUAGUGGAUACAUGGUCGCUGUAUCUCGUAAUACUUACAACAAAGUUUGCAAGAGGUAACUUUAAAAUUCCCAUUGAAGUUUUUGUUUUCUUUACUAACUGAUAUGAUGAAUUUAAAAGUGGACCACAUAGUUUCUAUGUUUUUUUUCCUUUGGGAAACUGCAUAAGGACAUUGGUAAAAAAAAACUUAAAUGUGUGAAAAGCUUGUUAUGAAUAGUUAUGCAAGGGGAAGUGGGGGUUGUAAGCUAUCUUUCGAAAAUAAGAUUUCCAAAAUCGUAUCUUUCGUUUGCAGGUUUUACUUCUGUGGUUCCAACAUCAAAAGUAAAAGGAACAAAUGUGAUUGGAAUCCUCGAAUGUCAUGGAAUACUAUUAGUUUAUGAUUCCAAGGUAACAGGCAAAGUCGAUAAAAAAGAGCCUCAAAUACGUAAUUCUCGAUAUGAUUUUUCCUUACUAUUCUUCUCUUUUUGUUUUGGAUGUUGCAGAACUGUUAUUUCCUACUUAUCACUAGUCUAAUUUUCAGUCUCAGAUAAUUACAAAAAGUUUAUAAAUUUCGGGAGGCUCCAGAUUGCUAUCAUUGGUGCUGUUGAGAACCGCAAAAUCUGCCAGGUGAUAAGCAGGAUCAUCGUGUCUUGAGAAGUGAGUCACUUCCAGGAUCUGAAUUAAUUGAACUUCCCAAGACACGAUAUCCUGCUUAUCACCUGGCAGAUUUUGAGGUUCUCAACUUCACCAAUGAUAGCAAUCUCGACCCUCCCAAACUUUAUAACCUUUUUGUAAUUAUCUGAGAUUGGAAAUUAGAAUAGUGAUAAGUAGGAAAUAACAGUCCUGCAAUAUCCAAAACAAAAAGAUGAGAAUAAUAAGGAAAAACCAUAUCGGGAAUUACGUAUUCGAGGCUCUUUUUUGUCGACUUGGCCUGUUACCCUGGAAUCAUAAGCUAAUAGUAUUCCAUGAUGGAUUCCAAUCACAGUUGUUCCUUUUACUUUCGAUGUUGGAACCACAAAAGAAAAAUCUGCAAACGAAAGAUUCUAUUUUGGAAAUCUUACAACCCCACUACCCUUUGCAUAAUACUAUUCAUAACAAGCUUUUCACACAUUUAGGUUUUUUACCAUGUAUCUCGUGGUACUUACAAUAAGAAUUGCAAGCGCGUUGCCCUUUGAGGUGGUCAGAUCUGAAGGUGCUUCGAGAGGAAGACCUCUUCCGCUGUUGUCUCAACCUAAGCCAACAAAUGGGUUUUACAAGGAUAUUGUUCCACACUGGGGACGUUAAAUUCAUGUAAGUUGGAAAGAUUUGAAUCCCUGACUGUUUGUAUCUUGAUAGCCAUGGAAUUAUCAUCGGAUAUUUCGAGAGGAAGCGUGUUGCCCUUUGCCAUGGCUAUCUUCUCGAAAUCUCUCCUCCGAUCCUCCCUCCGGCAAUGCAAGCACGUUGCCCUUUGCCCCUUUGAGGCAGUCAAGGUGGUCAGAUCAGAUCUAAAGGUGCUUCGUGAGGAAGACCUCUUCCGCUGAUGUCUCAACCUAAGCCAUUAAAUUAUUUGAAUUUUGCUGAUAUAAUAUUGUUGAUUUAGUCAUUGUUGUACUGCUACUUGUGAAAUUUUUUCGUUGUUUGACAUCUUCAAUUACAGAUUUGAUUCUGUAUGAUUUUGCAUUCUGAAAGCUUAGAAUCCAACUUGAAAUUGAAGAAUUACUUGAACAGUUUCUGUUCAUUUUAUAUUGCGAAGUUCAGAUUCGAUG